GACGAACGCUGGCGGCGUGCUUAACACAUGCAAGUCGAACGAAGUGGCGAACGGGUGAGUAACGCGUAAUCAACCUGCCCUUCAGAGGGGGACAACAGUUGGAAACGACUGCUACUACCGCAUACUGAAGGAGGGGAUUGCGUCUGAGUAGCUAGUUGGAGGGGUAACGGCUUACCAAGGCCACGAUGCAUAGCCGACCUGAGAGGGUGAUCGGCCACACUGGGACUGAGACACGGCCCAGACUCCUACGGGAGGAAGCAGUGGGGAAUCUUCCGCAAUGGACGAAAGUCUGACGGAGCAACGCCGCGUGAGUGAUGACGGCCUUCGGGUUGUAAAGCUCUGUUAAUCGGGACGCGGUACCGGAAUAGAAAGCCACGGCUAACUACGUGCCAGCAGCCGCGGUAAUUC
rnacentral:rRNA from 1 species